rnacentral:piRNA from 1 species
UAAAAUAUAUAACAUGGGUUCUUUAGACA